GACGAAGGGGGCUAGCGUUGUUCGGAAUUACUGGGCGUAAAGCGAGUGUAGGUGGUUGUCCAAGUUGGAUGUGAAAGCCUUGAGCUCAACUCAAGAAAUGCAUUCAGGACUGGGCGGCUAGAGGACCGGAGAGGAUAGUGGAAUUCCCAGUGUAGUGGUGAAAUACGUAGAGAUUGGGAAGAACACCAGUGGCGAAGGCGGCGACCUGGUCCAUUACUGACGCUGAGGCGCGACAGCGUGGGGAGCAAACAGG
rnacentral:rRNA from 1 species